UUAAAACUUUCAACAACGGAUCUCUUGGCUCUGGCAUCGAUGAAGAACGCAGCGAAAUGCGAUAAGUAAUGUGAAUUGCAGAAUUUAGUGAAUCAUCGAAUCUUUGAACGCACAUUGCGCCCCUUGGUAUUCCGAGGGGCAUGCCUGUUCGA
rnacentral:rRNA from 1 species